CUGCGAAUAUUCUCGCUGUUCUGAUUUUGUAAUAAUCAGGGCAGGCUAAACAUUCGCUAUAUUAAGACUAUGCUUGUGUCCCCAGACCUAGUCUUGCCCUAGGUCUGGUUUUCUAAAUGCUGGUGAUAAGC